GGCCCAAAUUUGAAGUAAAGUAGCUUAGUAGGAUUGUCCGACCCUACUGGAGUACUCUACUUCAAGUUUGUGCCC
rnacentral:pre_miRNA from 1 species